GCCGCAUCAAGCACAGACAUAUCGGUGCCUGCCCUGAGGGUAAAGACAGUCUUCAAAUGGGUGGACAGCAACGCUGUAGUAAGUGCAUUAUGUUUAUCUUUUGACUUUUGGUUACGUUUGGCUCCUCGGGAUAGACGGCAUUUUCUACCUAGUAUCAGCCCAACCCAGCUGGAACGGCAGAAACUGCUGUUUUCAAAUGAAACGAAACCUUCUGCAUGGACAGAACAGCUUUCCUUGUUCUUCAAUUACCUAAGUAGCUUAAAGCCAUUUUUGGAAGAAGCCAGGGAGUGAACUAUAAACAUUUUCCUUAAGCAAAGCUCGUUCUUUGCAGAGCCAGCACUGGUCACUCUGGGACCUCGCUACACAAUUUUGAGAGGCUCUCGAGAAGAGAUGAAGAGGAGGAACUUUGUGGACAUUUUAAACGAUUUCUUUCCUUCUGGGACCAGAUGAGUAAAACAAAACAGAACAAAAAAAAUCUCGACUUGAAAUCAAAGCCCAGCUUAGUGACUGAGGUUCGGGUUUUAACACAGUCAAGAGAUAUGGGGUCAGCGGGGUGGGGAGGACAGGGAGGAGAGGAGAAAAUGAAGAGGGAGCAGCACAAGAAAUUUAUUACAACGAACACUGUAGCAAAUAGCGGGGGUAAAAUGACCCAUUCCCCACCCCCAAUCAGGUCUCCUCAAUUACACCAAUUGCACAUCAACUCAAAAAUUAAGACUUUUUUCCUUUUUUAAAUUUUAUUUUCAAAAUUAUGAUAUAAUUACAUUUCUCCCUUCCUUUUCCUUGUUUUGCCUGCAUACAGCACAUAUGUGCCUGCUACUUGCUGAUGCCAGAGGAAGGAACUGGAAGCCCUGUAUGUGGAGUUACCAUGUGGGACUUGGAAACAGCAUUCAGAUUCUCUGCAAGAGCAACAGGUGCUGGUAGCUGCUGAACCAUCUCUCGGGCUCAUCUUUGACUUUCUGAAUCA
rnacentral:lncRNA from 1 species